AACCAGCUCUGCUUGAAUUAGACGCAGCUGACUCCAAGUUCCUGGAAAGUAACUUGAGCAAACAUGAUGUUGCUUAGGCUACAUAUUAUUGCUGAAGCUCCAAUACUUUGGCCACUUGAUGCAAAGAGCUGACUCAUUGGAAAAGACCCUGAUGCUGGGAAAGAUUGAGGGUGGGGGCAGGGCGACUGAGGAUGAGAUGGUUGGAUGGCAUCACUGACUCAAUGGACAGGAGUGUGAGCAAGCUCCAGGAGAUGGUAAAGGGCAGGGAGGCCUGGUGUGCUGCAGUCCAUGGGGCCACACAGAGUCAGACAUGACUAAGCGACUGAACAACUAAAACAAGCCUACAUGUGCUUGGAGGGCAUUGCAAGUCUUAAAACAAUCUCAGUGAAGGCAGGUGAAAUGAGUUUAACCCAUGGUUUCAGUGGCAAGGGCUAUACAGUACAGCUGAAGGAUUUAAGCAAGGCAAAUAAGGUAAUAAGAUUACCGUUAAAAAUGAUGCUUGUAGCUGUGCUGUGGAUUGAAGGACUGCUGCUGCUGCUGUUGCUAGGUUGCUUCAGUCGUGUCCGACUUUGUGCGACCCCAUAAAUGGCAGCCCGCCAGGCUCCCCCGUCCCUGGGAUUCUCCAGGCGAGUAACACUGGGGUGGGUUGCCAUUUCCUUCUCCAAUGCAUGAAAGUGAAAAGUGAAAGUGAAUUCGCUCGUGUCCAGCUCUUCAAGACCCCAUGGACUGCAGCCUACCAGGCUACUCUGUCCAUGGGAUUUUCCAGGCAAGAGUACUGGAGUGGGGUGCCAUUGCCUUCUCCGAUGGAAGGACUGGAGAGAAGCAAAGGAUAAACCCCAAACCCCUUGUCUUGGCACAAUGCCCCUGUGGUCUGGCUCCUUCCUCCAUCUCCAGCCUCCUCUGCUGAUGGGCCUCCACCCUCUGACGGACACUCCGGCUUCUUUCAGUCACUCACAUCUGCCACGCUCUGCCUCCCCAGGACCUUGGCACUUGCUGUGCUUUGCUCUUCUCUGUUGCCUGGUUAUCCCCAGCUCACGGGUCACGUUGCUUCCCAAGCUCGACUUUCUCGGAGAGGCUUUUGCUUACCUCACCAGCCAGACCCCCCUCCUCCGGACGGUCUCUCACAGCCCAGCAAGCUGCCCUACGCUUCCUGCAGGCACAACCGUGGAUUCCGCAGGGUUUUGUCAAUGGCGGCCUAUCUUGGGUGCUAGCCAGCCACGUGUGGCUUUGUCCCCUGCAGUAUUCCCGGGGAUUGGUGCAGUGCCUGUCACGGAGUGGGCGCUCAGUAAAGUUUGGUGAGCGUGUGAAGA
ensembl:lncRNA